CCCUGGGGCAACUCUUGUACAUUCCUUCAAUGCCUGCCCUGGGGGCCCAUAUCCCAGGCUUGAGUGCAGCAAAAGGACCCAUGCUUCCAUCCCCCUGGCGGCUCCAGGGACCAGCAGGGGCGGCAGGGCAGGCCUGACCUUCAUACACAGUUCCCUGCACACACUUGGCCAAAUGUGACCAGGGUGAGAGCGGGCGCAGUGGGGAAGGAUGUGGGAGGAAGGGUCAAGGGCCUCUGGUGACUCAUGAUGUGGGCUCAGGGAGUGUUUGCUGAGCCAACAUGUCAGGCUCGAAAAGAGGAUCACCAGAGGCUGAAGUGCGGGGGCCUCAUGAGAAUCGAGGUACACCAGGAGCUCAGAGAGGCCGGUGUGUUGGAGUGGGAAGAGGCUGUCACACUGAGAUGAUCUCUGGGCAGAGAAACUGGACGGAGAAGGCCUGAGCUUCAGAAACAGCCCCUUCCCCAGCUUCAAGGUGGCCGUGCUCUGUUCUGAAAGAUGUCUGAUCUUUCCCGCCAAAGAAAUAAAAACAUUGUCGAAAA
rnacentral:lncRNA from 1 species